AUUGAACGCUGGCGGCAGGCCUAACACAUGCAAGUCGAGCGGAUGAAGGGAGCUUGCUCCUGGAUUCAGCGGCGGACGGGUGAGUAAUGCCUAGGAAUCUGCCUGGUAGUGGGGGAUAACGUCCGGAAACGGGCGCUAAUACCGCAUAAGUCCUGAGGGAGAAAGUGGGGGAUCUUCGGACCUCACGCUAUCAGAUGAGCCUAGGUCGGAUUAGCUAGUUGGUGGGGUAAAGGCCUACCAAGGCGACGAUCCGUAACUGGUCUGAGAGGAUGAUCAGUCACACUGGAACUGAGACACGGUCCAGACUCCUACGGGAGGCAGCAGUGGGGAAUAUUGGACAAUGGGCGAAAGCCUGAUCCAGCCAUGCCGAGUGUGUGAAGAAGGUCUUCGGAUUGUAAAGCACUUUAAGUUGGGAGGAAGGGCAGUAAGUUAAUACCUUGCUGUUUUGACGUUACCAACAGAAUAAGCACCGGCUAACUUCGUG
rnacentral:rRNA from 1 species